rnacentral:lncRNA from 13 species
CUUGAAUUCCUGACCCCGUGAUCCACCUGCUUCAGCCUCCCAAAGUGCUGGAAUUACAGGCCUGAGCCACUGUGCCUGGCCUCUAAUUUUCUACUAUAAAUAAGGAAAAAUGAAAACAUUUAUUUUUUAAAGUGUGGUGAGAAUCAGAAAGGCAGAGAUCAAAGACUGUAAAUAGGACUGAGCCAAUCUAGAGAAACGUUGUGUAGGAAGCAGCGUGAAGGAGGAUGAGGGUGUCAGGGCAGGGGAACACAUGCCUGACAUUCACAGGGCCAGUUCCUUGACUCCUGCACCAUGGUCACUGCCAUUCUGUCUACACCUCUAGCAUGGCCCUCCAGAAUGAACUGCAAGCUUGGAUGAGGCUCUGGAGAGCACUUACAUCCAUUGUUUAAGCUCCAAGAGGCUCGGAUUCCAUGAACUUUGCCAAUGAGAAGGUUGAAAAAUUGGAGUAGCGGAGCCCUGACAGUUCCCAGACCCUCUCACAUAAUCUCUCAAGGAAUCCAGCUUAAUGCAUCAGCCCACUGCAGACAAAAUAACAUAAAACAGAAAAGGGAUCCAGAACCAGGCUCCCAAGAGUCUGACCACACAGCCAGCAGGAGGUCAGAGAGACAGAGUUUUACCAUGUUGGCCAGGCUCAUCUCGAACUCCCGACCUCAGGUGAUCUGCCCAUCUCGGCUUCCCAAAGUGCUGGGAUUACAGCAUGAGCCACCAUGCCUGGCUGAGAAGAUUGUUAAAUUUGAAAAUUCUGCUUGCCAGAAUUAAACCAUUUUAAAUCAACCAUGGUGGCAGUAUUUACACCUCGGAUAUUGACAAACACUAUAGGUCAUUAAAUAAAAUGUUAUUUUACUUAAUAAAAAUUACA